UGUUUUUUUUUCUUUGUACUAAAUUUGAAUUUGAUGAUUUCCCAGAAUUAAGUUUUUUUGAGUGUCUGAUUGAUUUGUAAAUGCAAUGAAUUGAGUUUUCUUGUUCUGGUUUGUAAGGAUUAAUGUUUGGUUGGUUUAUUUAUUCAAUUUGAAUAAUACCCAGAAUGGAGUUUUGUGUAUCUAGUUUUUUUGGAAUGCGAAAAUUUUAGUUUUUUUCUUGGUGGAUUGUAGGAAUUAUUGAUUAUUGUGGUUUAAGUUUGAAUUUUUAUUACACCCAGAACUGAGUUUUGAGUUUCUGGUUGAUUUGUGAAUGCAAAGUCUUGAAUUUUCCUGUUCAGGUUGUAAGGAUUAAUGUUUGUUUUGGUUUUAUUUAUUUAUUUAUUUAUUUAUUCAAUUUGAGUAAUACCCAGAAUGGAGUUUUGUGUAUCUCGUUGUUUUGGAAUGCAAAAAUUUGAGUUUUUUCUUGGUGGGGUUGUAGGAAUUAUUGAUUAUCGUGGUUUAAGUUUGAAUUUAAAGGAUACUCAGAACUGAUUUUUGAGUUUCUGUUUGAUUUUGAUUGCAAAGAUUUUUUUUCUUUUUUUCUUUUUGGUGUUCUUGGAUAGUGUUAAAUGUUUAGUGUGUAUUUUUGUAUUGAAGGUCUCGUCUCUGUGUGAAGAAUUUGCCAAAGUAUGUAGCCGAGGACCGUCUCAGAGAAUUCUUCUCUCAGAAAGGGGAAGUCACCGACGCCAAGCUCAUGCGUACUUCGUUAAGUUUCUCUUCUCCUCUCUGCUCUACCUUUUUUUUUUUUUUUUUUAAAUAGUAAUGUGAGCUGUAGACAAACUCUGUGCCUGAGUCCAUAGUUUGUUGUACUGAUACGGGUCAAAAUGGAGGGAGCCAGCUAGAAAGCAUUCAUACAGUUAACCACAAUUAGUAAAGAACUUGUUGUUAAUGACUAAUGUACAGUAGCAUUUCAGUUUUUCAGUUUUUCAUCGGUGGUUUCAGCCAAUAAUUGAUUUUUUGACUGGUAUUCACGAAUUGCUAUUUGAUACUGUAGAGAUUUUUGGGUAUGUUCAUGAAUUUGAAAUUCAUUUGACAUCGACUGAUUGCCACUUUAAGCAGAGAUGGAAAGAGCAGGCAGUUUGGAUUUGUAGGAUUUCGAACGGAGCAAGAGGCUGAGGAAGCUAUCAAGUAUUUUGACAAGUCUUUCAUGGAUAAUAGUCGUAUUAUUUGUGAGGUAUGUUUUUUCUGCUUCAGUUACUAUGCUGUUCUGCUUGGGUGGUAUACCUAUUUAGCAGAAGACGAAAAAGCAUAUCUCUGUUCCAUAUUCCAUUAUUUUGAAAUUAGUCGAUAUAUACAUUUCAAAUUACUCCACCUGUCCUAUUUUAUGUGACAUACUUUCCUUUUUGGUUGUCCAAAAAAAAUGACAUCUUUGUAAUAAUUAGAAAUACUUUGACUUUAAUUUUUUAUUUUACUCUAUUAUAGCCUCAAAACUGGCAUGGUUUUUGUUAGACCACGAGCUCCAAAAAGAUUUCUUUCUUAAACUCCGUGUCAAGUCAAGCACCGCCAAAAUAGCUGGGACACAUAGUAUAAAAGAUGAUGCCUUUAUAAUUUUUCCAAGUAGCUAGUGAAAGUAUCCUUAUAUAAGUCCUGUUAACUUUAUUGCUUUAUUCUAAUUUACAUUGUGAAUUACUUGAAUCUUUAUUUUCAUGGGUUGUGGAUUAUUAUUUUUCUAGAGAGUAGCUAUAUAUUGGUGAUGUGCUUGAAUGAUAUGUGCGGGGGUGAGAGGUUGACUGGGGAUAGUUUCAGGAGAGGUAGAGGUAGGCUGAAGAAGUAUUAGCGGAGGUGAUUAGAGAAGAUAUGACACAGUUAAAGCUUACCGAGGAUCCGACCUUAGGUAGGAGGUUGUGGAGGAACACAACUUAGGGUAGAAGGCUAGAUAGAAGUAGAGCAUUGUCUCGCUUGUCCUCACAUAUGGUAGUCGUCGUAUUUCUCCGGUAGUUUCUUGUCCUUCAAUUUCUGUUACCAGCUACUGUCUCUUGUACUAUAAUUACCACAGUAUUUUAUUGUAGUAGCUAUUCCUUUUUCAAAAUGCUUUGCCAUGAUUUCUUCACUUUUCAUUAAUUUUUUCGAUUUGCUUUCAUAUGCUUUUUCUUGAGCCGAGGGUCUAUUGGAAACUCUCUACCUCCCAAAGUAGGGGUAAGGUCUGCAUGCACUCUAUCUUCCCUAGACCCCACUUGUGGGAUUACACUGGUUAUAUUGUUGUUUUGUUCUUGUGCUUGAAUGACACAUAAAUUCAUUUUCAUAUAGCCAGAUUGCAAGGAAAAUUGGGGAUCCAAAUAUCCCUCGUCCAUGGAGCAGGCACACUUUGAAGAAACAAGAGAAAUUGACAAAUGAGGAUGAGAAUGCAAAAGUAAACAAAAGUUCCAAGUCUGCAGGUUUAAAAGGGGACAAAAAGAAUAGUAAACAGGAGAGUAAGGAUGAGGAUCCUCAGCUUCAAGAGUUCCUUGAAGUUAUGCAGCCUCGGAGUAAGUCAAAGUUGUGGGCAAAUGAUACACUAGCAGCUCCAUCUCUUGCUCAAAGUAAAAAGGAUGGCCAUAAGCAAUCCCAGGCAAAAGAGACUAACCGGGAAAAAUUGGCUACUGAUAACUCUGAGUUAGAUGAGGUUAUUAAAAAAGAGGAAUCUCUGUCAGUUAAUGAAAAUUCUGAGAAACCUGACAGCUUCCAUAAUGAUGAAGUUAUGACCGAUACAGAUUAUUUCAAAAGUAGAGUGAGGAAAGAUUGGUCAGACUCAAAAAGUAGUGAAGACGAUGGUAGUGAUAAUGAAAGUGACACUGAAAGUGGCAAGAGCAAUGAAGAUGCAAAUACUGGUAAUAUCCUCAAACCUGAUGAUACAGAGGAAGUUUUGACUGAUGGGUUCACCAGAUCUAACAAUAAAUCGCUUGAGCCUGCUGACCCUUCAUCAAGUGUUAUGGAUGAAAAAGAAGAAGAUCUGGAGAGUGGACGAUUAUUUGUUCGUAAUCUUCCUUACACCACGACGUAAUACAUCUUUGUUCUUCUUUUUUCCUUUAUCCUUUUUUUUUCUGGGUGAUUUAGUUAACUCGAUAUGUUGACUUCAACAAACCUAAUGUAUGUUCUUGCCAAACAAAUGGUUUUAUGACUCAGGGAAGAGGAGCUGGAAGAACAUUUUAGAGCAUUUGGCAAUGUCUCACAGGUUCAUAUUGUUGUUGACAAAGAUACAAAGCGGUCCAAAGGAUUUGCAUAUGUUCUCUAUGCAUUACCAGAAUCUGCUGCUAGGUACCUGUCAAUCAGCAUCCAAAUUCUAAGCUACUGCACUUUUUACCUGCAAGAAGCACACUGAUAUCCGUGUUAUAAAUUCUGAGUCCCUUGUAUACGUAUGUAUGUGUCUAUUUUUCAUGUUCCAGUGCUUCCUUGCAUUGCUUUUUGAUUGUUUCUUCCAGGGCAUUAGCGGAGCUGGACAGUUCAAUUUUUCAAGGACGAUUACUUCAUGUCAUGCCAGCUAAGCAGAAAAUUUCUCCAGAGAAGAUAGAGUAAGUGUUGUUUUACCACGCUUUUCAAUGUUCAUAUCCAUUAGAUUGUUUGCUUAUGCAUAUAUGUCGAGAGAAGCUCUCCUUUUUCUUUUUAAUAAUGUGGGAUCUACCUUGCUAUUAUAAGAUUGGUUCAUUUAUUACUCUGUAGGACAGUUGAUAAUACCAAGCAAUUUUCAAAAACAUUUAAGCAGCAGAGACUACAGGAAAAGAAGGCAUCUGAAGCUAGUGGAAAUACACAAUCUUGGAAUACUCUUUUCAUGCGGCCAGACACCGUAUGUACACUAUCGAAUGUUAUAAUUUAGAAUAUUUUUUCUUACUAUUAUGAGGGUUGGUUCUGUCAUUUUAGAAUUUUAAUCUAUGUUUUGCUAAGACACACAUUCUUAUCCACAUUCUGCGCCACAUAAAAUAAUACAGAAAUUUAUGCAUAAACUCUACAUGGAUUAUUUAUGAGGAAAACGAUAACUAACAUCUGAACAUUGUACAAUUUAAUAUGGAUUUUUAUGUGAAGCUUAAAUUUCCUCAAUCCCAACCAAACAUGGUACAAAUUAACUUUGGGAUUUUUUCUUCCGGGGGGUGGGGGUGGGGGUGGCUUUGUACAUCAACUUUUACAGCCCCUUGAUGCUUGCUGUAAUAGACUGGGUUUAUCUUUUUUUACAUUUGAUCUGAUUUGAGUUAUUUUUGUUCCUAUAUUAUGCUUCUUGUAAGAUGAUUUGGUUGUUCAAAUCUUUGUAGCUAUCCUAACUUGUAUAAUCAGUUUUUGAAAUGCUUCAGGAUCUUUAAUUACUGCCCGUUUGGGUUGAGUAUGCAUUCUACUGUGUCAGCGUUUGGACUUGUUCUUGAAAGUAAAAAUGAGCUCCUUCUGUUCUUUGAAAUUUUUUAGGUUGUCGAGAAUAUUGCAAGAAAAUUUGGUGUUAGUAAAAGUGUUCUUCUUGAUAGAGAAGCUGAUGAUCUUGCCGUACGUAUAGCAUUGGGUGAGACUCAAGUGAUAGCAGAGACGAAAAAGGCUCUUGCAAAAGCUGGGGUUAAUAUUGCUUCACUGGAAGACUACGCUGCUGGAAAAACUGAUGGAGUGAAACGAAGCAAUCACGUUAUUCUAGUUAAGAACUUGCCCUAUGGUUCGUCAGAAGGUGAACUUGCGAAUAUGUUUGGGAAGUUCGGGAGUCUGGAUAAGAUUAUUCUUCCUCCCACCCAAACCUUAGCUUUGGUUUGUGCUUUUAUCUUUGAAGCCUUUGGUUUGAAAUGACUAUUCUUGUAACUAUAAUUGUUCUUUAUGUGCUUUGUGACUUUUCCGUACAAUAGGGUGUUCUGAUUUGAUACUAAUAGACCAAGUUUCUGUUUGUGUAAAUAGACAUGAAUUAGUUGGAAAUAACAAGAUUGUUUGCUGCUUCUGUGAUUAUUACAAUCAGGUUGUCUUCCUAGAACCGGCAGAAGCACGCACAGCUUUUCGGGGCCUAGCAUACAAACGUUACAAGUAAGUGUAUAUAUCCGUUUCUUGCUUUUGAUACAGCGGUGAUUUUUGUAGUUGAACAAGUAGCUGUAUAUGUAAAGACAAUUUCAUGUCAUGACUGAUAACUAAGCAAGAUUGGAAUAGCUUUAGAAUUGGGAUAACACAUAAAUACUCUCCUCAACUUAUUGUGAAUAUUCAUCUAUACUUUUUAACUUUGCUAGUGCCCUAUUACACCCAACCCCCAAGGGGCCUUUUUGAAGUUGAGUAACUACCAGAUUUGUGUUGGGUGUUGAAAUAACACCACUUACUCCAUAUACUUUGAAGUUGAGUAACUUUGCUAGUGCACUCACCACUUAAUUUUUGUUCACCUUUUUUUUCCAUAUACUUUGGUUAUUUCUUCCUCCACCUUUGUUCAAAUGCAUUAAGCGGACUCUCCCCCAAUCUAAACUUUGCGCCUUCCUCUCACUCCUACUCCAAUAAUUCCUUGUCAAUGAUUAGUGAUGUCGCCCUGUAUUCUCGAAACAAGGUGCAUUUUAUGUUACCUCGGAUCCUGUUAGUGAGAGAAGACUCAAAAUUAGAGGGAAGCCAUGGAAAGAGAAGGGAAUUCCAUUUUUUUUUACUUUGCUUUAGAGAAUUGAGAAACCUUCCAAUUUUUUAUUUUGCAAGAUUGAGGUUUCUCCUAGCUUGCUUUGUUCUUUCUAGCACAUAUCAGUUUUGCUGCAUCUCAUAUGCAAUAUAUUUUGAUUCAGUCUUGAAAGUUUGGAAUUAUGAAGUAAAUUUUGUCCCUUUGUCCUGAUGCAGAGACACUCCCCUUUAUUUGGAGUGGGCUCCUGGGAAUAUUCUUGAUCAAACGAGUGAUUCCAAAAAUGAUUUUAUUGUUGGUGAAGAUGAUGUAAAGAGAGUGCUCCUGGAGCAACAAGUGGAAGGAAUAGCAGAUCCAGAUGUUGAUCCUGAUAGAGUGGAGGUAUAUAAACUGUAAAACCCAUGUUUCCCAUCUUUAUAUAGAAUGUACUUUGGUGCUAAGUCCCUACUGUUGUAUGAGUCUACUUGCGAGCUGUUUAUAUCUACCUGUAUUGUAUAGACUAAUACCUAGCUAAGUUUGUCCUCGUCAAUCUUUGCUUGUGGAUUAUUUUUCUGUUCAUCUCCAUUUGCCAGCAACCGCAAAUGAAGCUUUGUUGAGGUUGGCACUUCCAUUUGAUCAAUAGUCUAUUAUUAUAUGCACUUCUGUCGCCCUGACAUGUGUCCCACCAUAUGACACAAAGUUUCACUUUAUGAAUGCCAUUUUAGGAGUCUGUCAUGUUGGUACAUUUACUUUAGGUUCAAUGUUUGUUAGGUACAUUUACUUUAGGUUCAAUGUUUGUUAGGAGUCUUUUAGUUUCGAUACAGAUGCUAGUAGAAAAUGUAAAGAAUCUCUAGUGCUAGAGAAACCAGAUCAAAAUCGUAGAGAGACGAGCUUGAGUGGAGUGGCAUCUAGCAUGUGUUGAGGACUCAUACAACUGACCCAACUAGCAUGAGGUUGAGGCGUACUUUUUGUUUUUGUCGAACACAAAAAUGUGGAAGAUAUUACAAAUUUAAGUGGUUUUGUUUUUGUUGAACACAAAAUGUGGAAGAUAUUACACAAAAUGAGGAGUGGCAUCUAGCAUGUGUUGAGGACUCAUACAACUGACCCAACUAGCAUGAGAUUGAGGCGUACUUUUUGUUUUUGUCGAACACAAAAAUGUGGAAGAUAUUACAAAUUUAAGUGGUUUUGCUUUUAUUGAACACAGAAUGUGGAAGAUAUUACAAAUUCUUAAACGAACUCUUACAUUUGAUUGAUACUGGUAACGUACUGGUAUAUAUAAAGUCACAUUUUCAGAGAAAUGAAGAAACCCGGCUAUGCAAAAAUCAAAUUUACAGACAGCCUAUCAAAUCGAUUAGAGAAUCUGUUUCCUCUAGUAGUAUGUAAGACUUUUUUGAGAAUUUCUACUAGUAUGUAAGACUCAAACUUAAGUCUACAUAUUUAUUCAAGUUUUUAGUUUGCUGGAAAUUAACUGUGGCCUGCAUAUGAUAGGUCCCCAGAAAAUCAGAAAUAAAUAAUUCUCAAAUAUGAACUGUACUCUUGUUGUUGUUGUUGUUGUUGUUGAACUGUACUCUUGGUAGCAGCAGACUAUUGAAUACACAUGGUCACAUGACAUGCUGGUUCAGCUGCUCCACUAUUGCCAAAAAAUCAUGCUACCUGUACCAAAAACCAAAAGAAUUCAGUUAUUGGAAAUAAGUAUAUAGUGAAGAACAUUGCAGUUAUAGAAAUUCCUUGUUACUUCUUUGUUUGUUCUUAUAACUGCCUUGAUUUCUCAGGUUUGUUUCUUGUUUCAUUAACCAAUUGAUAUUCUUGUUGUCACCUUUCCAGUCACGAUCACUGUAUGUCAAGAACCUAAAUUUCAAGACAUCAGAUGAGAGUUUAAAGAAACAUUUCACUGAUCACAUAAAGGAUGGGCGAAUAUUAAGUGUGAGGGUAAGUUCUUGUGGCUCUUUUUUAUGCUGAGACGCCAAGUAUUUAGCAUAGUAUUUCCUUUGUGCUACAUGAAAAAAUAACUAGUCUUCCUCCAACACCUGUUAAUAUUAUUCUGUGAAGGUGAAAAAGCAUGUAAAGAAUGGAAAAACUGUCUCGAUGGGUUUUGGAUUCAUUGAGUUUGAUUCUGCUGAUACAGCAAUCAAUGUUUGUAAGGAUUUGCAGGUAAUCAGUCUGAUUUUUGUUUUAACAUUUUGUCCAUACAUUCGGGCUCCUACAAAUAGCGUUUCAUCUUCCCCUCUUCUUGUCAUUCAGGGAACUGUUUUGGAUGGGCAUGCACUUAUAAUGCAACUUUGCCACACUAAGAAGGAUGAUCAACUACCAAAGAAAGCUGAGAAUGAUAAGAGUUCGACUAAGUUGCUUGUUAGGAAUGUUGCUUUUGAGGCAACUGAAAAGGAUCUCAGGCAACUAUUCAGUCCAUUUGGGCAGGUACUUCCUCUGAAGUGUUGUUAAUGUAGGGUGAUACUAAGUAGUAGAAAAUAAUACUAGGUUUUCCUGUGUUGGGAAGUGGCAAAGCUAGAAGUUAAUUGAGGAUAAGUAUGUCUGUGGGCACGAGGAUGCAUUAUAUCCUGUGCAUUUCCAUUGAGUCCAUAUGAGAGACAUUUAUCCAUAUGUAAGUGGGCAUGUAGAAUUCUCUCCGAUUUGUAAUGCUUUUGUUCAAAAUUCCAGGUCUAGUGGAAUGUGUCAUGAAAUUUAUUAGUGUGAAAAAUGUUGAUAUAGACAAAAUGAUGCGUGGUAAUUGGCAGAUGAUCUAGCCACUAGAAGCUAGGGCUAGAAAAAAAAAAAAACAUUAUGAUGGUUACUUGAAAGUCUGACAUAUAUGUUAUUUUUGACCUGCAUUCAUCAUGUUUCACAUAGCGACUUAUUUCAAUGUCCUUUCCGUUGACCUCAAAAUUAAAUUCAUCCUACAGAUUAAGAGUUUAAGGCUGCCAAUGAGGUUUGGGAACCAUAGAGGAUUUGCAUUUGUAGAGUUCGUCACUAAACAAGAGGCAAAGAAUGCCAUGGAAGCUCUAUCCAAUUCUCACUUGUAUGGGCGCCAUUUGGUAUGUGAUCUUGCAAUUCUCAUAGUAUAUAUCUACUACCUAAAUAUCACCAAGUAAUAUGUUGUGGUGCAUGUUACAUCUCAGGUUCUUGAGAGAGCCAAGGAAGGUGAGAGCUUAGAGGAAUUACGCGCUCGCACAGCUGCUCAGUUUAGUACUGAGCAAAAUGGGUUUCAAACUACUAAAUUAUCAAAGAAGAGAAAACAAAUGGCUAUAUUGGAUGAAGGGAGUUUUAAAUUCGAGCGAAUUGCUGAUUAAAUACUUCACAACUCCCUUCAAAUCCCCAAUUCACUUGUCCUGUAUAGGUUAAAGCUACUAAUUCUGCAGUAUUUAUAGCCCAAUAGUACUAAGAUGAGAGCUUGUUUAAUCAAUUUUGUUCAUUAAUGUAAUGUCUUGACAUCCUCUUCGGUUUGUAUUGUAGAUCAUGAAAAGUUUGCUGUCAGUUUGUGACAAAAAAAUAUCAAAGUAGUAGGUAAACAAAGUUUGAUCCUUUGGGAUGUUUCUUAUGGAUUACUUUAAUAAUGAAGAUAGCAUUCUUGUCACAGGGGGGUAAUGUAGAAAUGCUAUUUCUUAUCCACCAUAACCAAAAGAAAAAACUUAAAUCAUCUCGAGUUUAGAAGGUGAAUUUCUUGGUUAGAAAAAGAAGGGCAACAAAGGGUCGAUUUAAAAGGAAAAAAAAAAAACAGAGUGGCCAGUGUGAAAACAUGGACAAUUUUUUAAUUUGAGUCAAAAAAAUUUCCUGCAUUAUUAGAAUGACAAAGAAAAUAAGAAAAAAAAGUGGAAGGAAAUGAAGGAGGACGGCAAACAGGCGUUGACGUCCUAGUUUUAAAUACUUACAUAAAUUUUAAGUGAUAUAUCUCAAAGAAUGUGAUGUAUUCUUGUUGAAUUUUUUAGAAUUUUAAAAGACGUUGGAAUAGGAAGUAAUUAACAUCAAAAGAAUUGAGAUUUGCGUAACUUUUACAUUAUUUAUUCUGCUCUAGAAAAGUGCAAGGAAAUGAAGGAAAAUUUAGCGUCUUUAGAAAAUUCUCCAUCUUUAGCAAAAUAAGAACAAAAAUUUGCGUACAUUUUAUCUUUUCUAAAUUUCAUCUAUACGUGUUGACAGUUUGAUAACAUUUUCUUUUCUUGUUAAAAUAGUUCCUUCUUUUGGUCGUGACAUGCGCAAUUGGAAAAGAAAAAAGAAUCAAGUAAAUUGGUAAUAACGACAUUGCAGAAAUUUACCUCAAAAAAAAAAAAAAUUAUUGUCCCCUUUAAACUAUAUAUCAUCGAUCACUAUCAUUAUUCAUCAUUAUAUAAUCACCAAUCAGCACUAUAUAUUAUAAACUAUCGUCAUCAUUCACCAUCACUAUAAGCUAUUACUAUCAUCCACCACAACUAUCAGUCAUUGUGACAAGGAGUAACCAUCAAUCACUACUCUCACAACUAUCAUCACCAAUAGCUACACCCUUAACACCACUAUUUGCCAAUAUAUCUUCAAUCGACACCCACAAUCACUAUCGCUAGCCAUCACUAUCAUCAACAGUCAUAUAAUGUUUAUAGUAAAUUAAUUUAAUUUUUUUUAUUAAAUUUUACUUUAUAAUAGAAGCGGCAAUCUUGACCAUUUUAGAGUCGUCCUGGCUGCUUCAGCUGCUUCAAGCGUAAUUUUACUAUAUCACCCCUAAUUAAUUAUUAUAAAUUAUUUCAUUUAAGUAUUAUAAUAUUAAUAAUAUUUAAUAAAAGAAUAGUUUUCAAAAUGACUACUAAAUUCCUCAAAGUUCCAUUUAUUAUUAUUCGAGAAUUUUUUUUAGCUGUUUCAAUCGUAAUUUUAAUGUAUCACCUCUAAUUAAUUAUUAUAAGCCAUUUACGUAUUAAAAAUUAAUAAUAUUUAAUAUAAAAAUAAAACAAACAUUUUUUACAUGUCUGCUUCAGUUGGUUCGACAUAAUUUUACUAUAUCACCUCUAAUUACUCAUUAUGAGUCAUCUAAGUAUUAAAAAAUAAUGUUAAAAAAUUAUUAUAAAAUCAUCUAAGUUUUAAAAAACUAAUAAUAUAAAAAAAUAUUAAUCUGCCAAAUAUUUUUCAAAAAUAGGUAAGAAAUACUAUACAUCACAAUAAUUAGCAACUAGAAAGUUUAGAGUCAAUUUACUUUCUUUGGCACAUCUUCAUUGGUCCUUUCCUUUGCCUUCAUUUUUUCAUCUAUUUUAAUUUGUUAUAUAUUUUUUAAAAAAAAACUUGUAAAUCACAAUAAUUAAUAAAUUAAAAAUUAAAAACAUAUAAAUAUUUGACUGACUUUCAAAAUUAUAUCAUUGCUACUUAAAUUGGAAUAGAAGAAAAAAUACUAUAGAUCACAGUAAUUAAAAACUUAAAUUAUUUAUAAAAUAUAAUUGACUAUCAAUAGUACAAAAUUUUAAACAAGGAGUGUAACAUAUAUUAUUUAAAAUUUACAUAAAACUUAUUAUAAAUUACAAUAUUUAACAAAUUAAAAUAUCUAAAAAAAAUUAUUAUAUAUUUUAAAAAAUACAUAAAAGUGCUAUAGAUCAUAAUAAUUAACAAAUUUAAGACAUAUAAAAUAUUUGAUUGACUUUUGUUCAAUUAUAAAAAAAUAAGCACUUUGAUGAAGAUUUAUAGUAUCAUUCAAGUAAAUACAGAUUAAGAUCGUAGAAACAUGAGCUAGUGAUAUAGCUACACCUAAUUCCAGACCGGUUAAUGCAAGAACUAUAAAUAAAGGACCAAGAUCCCCUAUGAAAUAUAAUUGAAUAUCAACGCCACAAAAGUUAGGACAAGGAGAGUAACAUGUAUUUUUUGAAAAUCAUAUAAAAAACAUUACAAAUUACAAUUGUUGACAAUUUAAAGUAUUUUUUUAAUUUUUUUUUAUAUAUUUUUAAAAAAUACUCAAAAAGAUACUACAAAUCAUAAUAAUUAAUAAUUUUAAAAAUUGUAAGGAUAUAAAUAUUUGGUUGACUAUAGAAAUUAUAUCAGUGCUACUUAAUUUGAAAUUAAAAAAGAUUAUAAAUCUCAAUAAUUUUAAAAGUUAAAUUAUUUUUAAAGUAUAAUUGGCUAUCGAUGCUACAAAAGUUUGAAUAAGGAGAGUAACAUGUAUUAUUUAAAAAUUACAUAAAAAAAUAUUAUAAAUUACGAUAAUUAACAAUUUAGAAUAUUCAAAGCAUACUAAAGAUAUGAUUGAUUAUCUAUAUUUUAUUUAUGUCACAUAAAUUGAGACUAAAAAAUAAUAUAUAUUGGGCCCGUGCCAACCUAUUUAAAUAAAUUUAUAUAUUCAAAUAUUGAAAAAUAAAUAACUUUAAUUAUUUAAUAUUCAUAUCUUAAUUACUUAGUAUUCUGGUAAAAUAUGUGUUACCACCAAACAAAUCUCAUCAUUUUGUGACUUAAUCUAUAAUAUAUUAAAAGUGUGAAGCCCGUUAAAAAGUGAUUUGAAUUUUUUAUCCUUCAUUAAAACACUAUACAAUAGACAAAAUCAUCUUUUCACUAUUUUCCUUAAUUUAUUAUUUAAUUAAAUUUUUAUUUUUUAAAGUCAAGAAAUCCUAAAUUAUACGGUAAAAGAAAAAUAUAUAGAGAAUUAAUAUUGGUAAAUUUUUUAUUUCCUUCUAUAUGUAAAAAAAGAGUCUUGAAAUAUUUGGUAGAAAAAAGAUCCUAAAAUAUAUAAUAAAGAGAAUAAGAAAAGAUUUAAUAGUAGAAAACUUUAAGUAAAAAAGAAAAAUAAAAUCUCACCUAAAGUUUUAGAAAAACCAUUAUACGUUUUCUUUUAAUGUUAUGAUUUUAAUUCCUUUAAGUAAAAAGGAAAAAUAAAAUGUCAACUAAAGUUUUAAAAAAACUAUUGUACGUUUUCUUUUAACGUUAUUAUUUUAAUUUCAAACUAUAUAUAUAUAUAUAUAUAUUUCUUUUCUAUAUAAUAGAAACACUAAUUUUGACCAAUGCUUCAUCAAUUGCUAUACUACCCCAAAUUAUUUCAGAAUUUACUAUAUUACUCCUAAUUAAUUAUUAUAAUUCAUUUAAAUAUUAGAAUUAAUAAUAUUUUUUUAUUAUAUUAUCCCUAAUUAAUUAUUGUAAGUCAUUUAUAUAUUAUAAUUAAUGAUAUUUAAUUAAAAAAUAGACAUUUAUGACUUUUGUUUCAGCUGCUUUAACUGUGAUUUUACUUUAUCAUCCCCAAUUAAUUAUUAUAAGUCAUUUAUGUAUUAAAAAAUUAAUAAUAUUUAAUUAAAAAAUUAGAUGACAUGUCUACCUAUAUUACCUCUAAUUGCCCCGUAAUUUAUUAUAUUACCCCUAAUUAAUUAUUAUAAGAAAUUUAUAUAUUAGAAUUAAUUAAUUAUUAUAAGUCAUUGAUAUAUUAAAAUUAAUAAUAUUUAAUUAAAAAAAUAUUUAUAACGUUUGUUUCAGCUCCUUUAAUCGUGAUUUUACUAUAUCAUUCUUAAUUAAUUAUUAUAUGUCAUUUAUGUAUUUAAAAAUUAAUAAUAUUUAAUUAAAAAAUAGAAGUUUAUGAUGUUUGUUUCAACAUCUUUAACCGUAAUUUUACUGUAUCAUCCCUAAUUAAUUAUUAUAAGUCAUUGAUAUAUUAAAAUUAAUAAUAUUUAAUUAAAAAAUAGAAGUUUAUGAUGUUUGUUUCAACAUCUUUAACCGUAAUUUUACUGUAUCAUCCCUAAUUAAUUAUUAUAAGUCAUUGAUAUAUUAAAAUUAAUAAUAUUUAAUUAAAAAAUAGAAGUUUAUGAUGUUUGUUUCAACAUCUUUAACCGUAAUUUUACUGUAUCAUCCCUAAUUAAUUAUUAUAAGUCAUUGAUAUAUUAAAAUUAAUAAUAUUUAAUUAAAAAAUAGAAGUUUAUGAUGUUUGUUUCAACAUCUUUAACCGUAAUUUUACUGUAUCAUCCCUAAUUAAUUAUUAUAAGUCAUUGAUAUAUUAAAAUUAAUAAUAUUUAAUUAAAAAAUAGAAGUUUAUGAUGUUUGUUUCAACAUCUUUAACCGUAAUUUUACUGUAUCAUCCCUAAUUAAUUAUUAUAAGUCAUUGAUAUAUUAAAAUUAAUAAUAUUUAAUUAAAAAAUAGAAGUUUAUGAUGUUUGUUUCAACAUCUUUAACCGUAAUUUUACUGUAUCAUCCCUAAUUAAUUAUUAUAAGUCAUUGAUAUAUUAAAAUUAAUAAUAUUUAAUUAAAAAAUAGAAGUUUAUGAUGUUUGUUUCAACAUCUUUAACCGUAAUUUUACUGUAUCAUCCCUAAUUAAUUAUUAUAAGUCAUUGAUAUAUUAAAAUUAAUAAUAUUUAAUUAAAAAAUAGAAGUUUAUGAUGUUUGUUUCAACAUCUUUAACCGUAAUUUUACUGUAUCAUCCCUAAUUAAUUAUUAUAAGUCAUUGAUAUAUUAAAAUUAAUAAUAUUUAAUUAAAAAAUAGAAGUUUAUGAUGUUUGUUUCAACAUCUUUAACCGUAAUUUUACUGUAUCAUCCCUAAUUAAUUAUUAUAAGUCAUUGAUAUAUUAAAAUUAAUAAUAUUUAAUUAAAAAAUAGAAGUUUAUGAUGUUUGUUUCAACAUCUUUAACCGUAAUUUUACUGUAUCAUCCCUAAUUAAUUAUUAUAAGUCAUUUAUAUAUUAGAAUUAAUAAUAUUUAAUUAAAAAAUAGAAGUUUAUGAUGUUUGUUUCAACAUCUUUAACCGUAAUUUUACUGUAUCAUCCCUAAUUAAUUAUUAUAAGUUAUUUAUAUAUUAAAAAUUAAUAAUAUUUAAUUAAAAAAAUCAGCUGCUUUGUCAUUUACUAUAUUAACCUAAUUGCUCGGUGAUUUAUUAUAUUACCCCUAAUUAAUUACUAUAAGUCAUUUAUUUAUUAGAAAUUAAUAAUGUUUUUUUUAUUAUAUUACCCCUAAUUAAUUAUUAUAAGUCAUUUAUAUAUUAUAUUUAAUAAUAUUUAAUUAAAAAAUAUAUAUUUAUGACAUUUAUUUCAGCUGCUUUAACCAUGAUUUCACUAUAUCAUCCCUAAUUAAUUAUUCUAAGUUAUUUAUGUAUUAAAAAAUUAAUAAUAUUUAAUUAAAAAAUAGAUGAAAUGUCUGCCUAUAUUAUCCCUAAUUGCUCCGUGAUUUACUAUAUUACCCUAAAUUAAUUAUUAUAAGUCAUUUAAAGUUAUUUAUGUAUUAAAAAAUUAAUAAUAUUUAAUUAAAAAAAUAUAUGACAUGUCUGCCUAUAUUAUCCCUAAUUGCUACGUGAUUUACUAUAUUACCCUAAAAUAAUUAUUAUAAGUCAUUUAUAUAUUAGAAUUAAUAAUAUUUAAUUAAAAAUUGAUAUUUAUGACGUUUGUUUCAGCUGCUUUAACCGUGAUUUUACUAUAUCAUCCCUAACUAAUCAUUAUAAGUCAUUUAUGUAUUAAAAAAUUAAUAAUAUUUAAUUAAAAAAAUAGAUGACAUGUCUGCUGCAGCUGCUUCAACCAUAAUUUUGCUAAAUAUCGCUUAUAAUUAAUUAUUAUGAGUCAUCUAAGUGUAAAAAAUUUAAUCAUAUUUUUUUAAAAAAAAUAGACACAAAAUGAUAAAUUAACUCUUGAUGUAUUAAAUUAAGUUGACCUCCUUCAACCGUGAUUUUACUGUAUCACCCAUAAUUAAUUAUUAUUAGUCAUUUAUGUAUUAAAAUAUUCAUAUUAUUUAAUUAAAACAUUGGUUUCGACAUGGCUGCUUCAAGAGCUGCGCCGUAAUUUUACUAUAUCACCCCUAAUUAAUUAUUAUAAGUCAUUUAUGUAUUAGAAAAUUAAUAGUAUUUAAUUAAAACAAGAAAAAUAUGUGUUUAUGACAUGUUUGUUGCAGCUGUUUCAACCAUAAUUAUCUUUGAGAAGAUGAUCCAAGACUUUGUGUUAAUUGAAGUAUCUUUUGUUCCAGUUUUUAUAUGAAAUAAUCUUAUGAAUAUUAGUUCUACAUCUUUUCUAUAUUUUGUAGCAGGUCUCAAUUUUAUCAUCAAACAAUUAAAAUAACCCGACUACACGACACAUUACACCUUUUUAUCAUGUGGAAAAAAACUAUCUUAUAAAACUUCACUCCUUAGCGAGUACCAUCAAAUAGUUAUUAUUUAAAAAAUUAUCGUUUUAAAUCAAUGUACAUUUAUGUUUGUAUCUCAUCAAUAUUGAAUAUUGGUGCUAAAAGAUGUCUAUAGUGUUGGAUCCGUGCUGACACGGGCCAUGCACCUCUUGUAUAUAUAUAUAUAUAUUAUAUUAUAAUCUAUUUAAAGUGUGAAGGGCGUUAGAAAUGUCGCUUGAACUUUUUACCCUUCAUUAAAAGUCUUUUCUUUAGAUAAAAAUCAUAUUUUGACUAUUUUUUUUAAUUAUUUAAUAGUUAAAAAUCAAUUAAAUAUAUUUAUGAUAAACCUUUAAAACUUUUUAAGAAGAUUUAAAAAGUCUAUAAAUUUACAUCUACAAUAUAUUAAAUCCAUUAACCAUUUGAAAUUUGUGAUGAUAAAAUAUACAUGUGCUUAUAAUAAAAUAUAUAUUUUAAACUUUUUACAAUUCAUUAAAAAAAUUAUCUAAUUUUAAAUAAUCAAAAGUUAAUUGCACGUGCAGCUAAACUAGUAAUUAUACAAAUUUCCAUUGACAAAGUGAGGAGUAUAUUCUUUCAAAUCCUCUAACCAAUUUACAGCGGAGUUGGUAGUCCAAAAUAUUUCAAGAAAACUUGUUUCUCUUGUCUUGUUUCCUUUUAAACCCUUUUGUCCACUCUUUACAUUUCUACUACUCAAUUCAUUUGUUCACCAUAUAUUACCUGCCUUGUCUCCAUCUUUUCUCAACUGGGUAUGCCUUCAAAUUUCACCUAAUUCUGUGCUUUCUUUAGGGUUUCUCAUUGUUUUCAUUAAAUUCAAUCAUUCUUUUCUUUGUGGAUUUACUUUUUUAAGUGUGUUCUUUAUAUGAGAUCCCAAUUCACUUUGUGGGGUUUUUAGUAUUUGAUAAUUUUACUUUACUGUAAGUGAUAUUAUUAUACUUUGUUGCUUUGUUAGAAUUACUAGCAUCAUCUGUUUUCUUUGUGGGUUUUCUUUAAUUCUGCUUAUUGUGUACUCAUUUGGAUCUUCCUUGUUACUGUUUUUUUUGGUGGAACUUAGUGUUUGGAAUUUAGAUUUGUUGUGCCCUUAAAUAAGUGGUGUUUUUAGUUUGAACACACCCUUAACCAAACUACUCAUUCCUAGAAAACAAAGAUUGUUUUUACUAACUUAUCCUUGAUAAAUACUUUGGAAAAGAUAGUACUCUUUAGUAGUUUCUUGCUUAUUUAAAACUCUUUUUAUUUAAAAGAAGUUAAAAAUGAAGGAACAACAUGAAUGUCUUCUUGAUUAUCUAAAGUACUACUUAUUUGGGAAUAAAAUCAAAAGGCUGAAAACCACUUAAUUUAGGAAUGGAGGGAGUAGGCGGACAUUGAUUAUAAAAGUUGGCGUGAAUUUCCAGGUUCAGUUUGUGAUUCUGUUAGUUUUUAGUGCUUUCUUGAUUUACUUUUGCGUUUGUUCUGAAUCUUGAUAGAGGCAAUGUCGCAAGGCUAUGCUAUUGAGCUCUACUUUGAUCCUGCACUGGAAAACCAGGUCCUGAAGGCCUGGAAUGUAUUGGCUCGGCGCCAGAUUAGCACUCAGCUUAUUGAGAUUGAGUCUAGACCUCACAUUACCCUCUUCUCGAGUCCCAAUUUUGAUCCAUCAAAGCUUGAGAACAUUGUAAAGAAUUUUUCGUCCAAGCAAGAAUCUUUGCCUCUGUCCUUUGGUUCAAUUGGAAGCCUCCCAAGUGAUGACAAUGUUCUAUUUCUUGCCCCAACACCAACUUUGUCUCUACUUCAGUUCCACUCACAGCUGUUUGAUGCUAUGAAAAAGGAGGGCAUUGAGAUUGCAGAUGAGCAUCGUCCUGAUACGUGGAUUCCUUAUUGCCCGGUAGCUGAAGAGGUGCCUAAAACUCGUAUGGGGGAGGCAUUCACUGUUUUGAGGGAUCUGAAAUUACCUGUUGCUGGAUAUGCAAUGGAAAUUGCACUUGUCGAGUAUCCUCCAGUUCGUGAAGCAUUUUCUUUUGUGCUUGGUAAUACAGUUGAACCUUGAGGUUUCAGACAUGUAAUUGUGUUGAUUUUAGUUUAGGCUUUUACCUUUCAUAUCCUAUAUAGUUGCUCUUGUAGAACCUGAUAUAGAUGGUUAAGAGUGUUAUUAUCGUUGCUAAAUGGUCAUCUGCUUUGAUGAAAUAUUAAGUCAUUUCUGAUUCUUUCCUAUUGUUCGUACUUGCAUUGAGAUGUUGAUCUCUUAUGUCAGUGUUGGUGAUAAUAACAUGCUUAUUUUUUUUUCUUAUCUAUGGGAAGUCUCUGGUCGACCUCUAUUAGCAUAGAAAUUUUAUUUGCUUCUGUGUUCUAUCUUAUAAAUCAUGAACAUUGUUUGGCUUACGUGUUCUACUUUGUAAGUCUUGAAUGUGGUUCCUUUCAUUCAAAUGUAAUAUGUUUUAGUUCUUGUUAAGUUUAGCAAGUUCGAAUCAUGUGAGGUAAAUUUGCUUUUGUUAAAUAAUGUUGAGUAUAAAACUUGCUUGCGUUUAAAAAUGUUCACUUAUACAUUACUGCAGUACACCUUCUAAUUUGCAAGUCUCAAAGAUCAUGUGCUUUCUUUAGAUUGUAAUAUAUCCUGGUGCUUGUUGAAUUUAAUAUGAUUGAAUCAUGUGAGGGGAGUACAGAAGCUACCAGUUUUGUAUGGUUGGUAAAUCAAAUAGUAUUUGGAGAAAACAUGAGGCAGAGUUGAUUGAUGUACUAGCUGAAUAAACUGGAUAAAAGACAAGAACAGUCCAUUAUGUUUGACGUUGGUUUUGACUAACCCUUUUUUUUUUUUUUUUUUUUUUUUUUUUUUUUUUUUUUUUUUUUUUUUUUUUUUUUUUUUUUUUUUUUUUUUUUUUUUUUUUUUUUUUUUUUUUUUUUUUUUUUUUUUUUUUUUUUUUUUUUUUUUUUUUUUUUUUUUUUUUUUUUUUUUUUUUUUUUUUUUUUUUUUUUUUUUUUUUUUUUUUUUUUUUUUUUUUAAAAUCAUGG
rnacentral:lncRNA from 1 species